GUGGGGAAUCUUGCGCAAUGGGCGAAAGCCUGACGCAGCCAUGCCGCGUGAAUGAUGAAGGUCUUAGGAUUGUAAAAUUCUUUCACCGGGGACGAUAAUGACGGUACCCGGAGAAGAAGCUCCGGCUAACUUCGUGCCAGCAGCCGCGGUAAUACGAAGGGGGCUAGCGUUGCUCGGAAUUACUGGGCGUAAAGGGCGCGUAGGCGGACAGCUUAGUCAGAGGUGAAAGCCCAGGGCUCAACCUUGGAAUUGCCUUUGAUACUGACUGUCUUGAGUUUGGGAGAGGUGAGUGGAACUCCGAGUGUAGAGGUGAAAUUCGUAGAUAUUCGGAAGAACACCAGUGGCGAAGGCGGCUCACUGGCUCGGUACUGACGCUGAGGUGCGAAAGCGUGGGGAGCAAACAGGAUUAGAUACCCGAGUAGUCC
rnacentral:rRNA from 1 species